rnacentral:rRNA from 1 species
GACGAACGCUGGCGGCGUGCUUAACACAUGCAAGUCGAACGGAAAGGCCCUGCUUUUGUGGGGUGCUCGAGUGGCGAACGGGUGAGUAACACGUGAGUAACCUGCCCUUGACUUUGGGAUAACUUCAGGAAACUGGGGCUAAUACCGGAUAGGAGCUCCUGCUGCAUGGUGGGGGUUGGAAAGUUUCGGCGGUUGGGGAUGGACUCGCGGCUUAUCAGCUUGUUGGUGGGGUAGUGGCUUACCAAGGCUUUGACGGGUAGCCGGCCUGAGAGGGUGACCGGCCACAAUGGGGCUGGAGAUCCGGCCAAAACCCUUAGGGGGGGAAGAGGUGGGAAAAAUGCACAAAGGGGCGGAGGCUUGAUCAGGAACCGCGGGGUGGGGAAGGCCGCCUUUGGGGUGGAAACCGGCUUCGGCUGGUAAGGAGGCGUGAGGGCGGUAAUUGGGAAAAGAAGAACGGCUAACUUAGGG